GACGAACCGUGCGAACGUUGUUCGGAUUCACUGGGCUUAAAGGGCGCGUAGGCGGGCCACUCAGUCCGGGGUGAAAUCUUUCGGCUUAACCGGAAACGAGCCUUGGAGACGGGUGGUCUGGAGGGAGAUAGGGGCAGGUGGAACUUCCGGUGGAGCGGUGAAAUGCGUAGAGAUCAGGAGGAACACCCAUGGCGAAGGCAGCACGCUGGUCCGACCCUGACGCUGAGACGCGAAAGCGUGGGGAGCGAACGGG
rnacentral:rRNA from 1 species